rnacentral:rRNA from 1 species
AUGAACGCUGACAGAAUGCUUAACACAUGCAAGUCGAUGGGGAAGUGGUGCUUGCACCAUGGCAACCAUGGCGGACGGGUGAGUAACGCGUAAGGGACUUACCUGCAGGACUGGGAUAACAGGGGGAAACUCCUGACAAGACCGGAUAAUGUCAUGGAGCUGCAUGGCUUUAUGAUGAAAGGAGACGCCUGCGGAGAGCCUUGCGUCCUAUUAGCUAGUUGGUGAGGUAAGGGCUCACCAAGGCGAAGAUAGGUAGCCGGCCUGAGAGGGUGGACGGCCACAAGGGGACUGAGAUACGGCCCUUACUCCUACGGGAGGCAGCAGUGGGGAAUAUUGGACAAUGGGGGCAACCCUGAUCCAGCAAUUCUGUGUGCACGAAGAAGGUUUUCGGAUUGUAAAGUGCUUUCAGCAGGGAAGAAGUAAGUGACGGUACCUGCAGAAGAAGCGACGGCUAAAUACGUGCCAGCAGCCGCGGUAAUACGUAUGUCGCGAGCGUUAUCCGGAAUUAUUGGGCAUAAAGGGCAUCUAGGCGGCCUGACAAGUCAGGGGUGAAAACCUGCGGCUCAACCGCAGGCCUGCCUUUGAAACUGUCAGGCUGGAGUACCGGAGAGGUGGACGGAACUGCACGAGUAGAGGUGAAAUUCGUAGGUAUGUGCAGGAAUGCCGAUGAUGAAGAUAGUUCACUGGACGGUAACUGACGCUGAAGUGCGAAAGCCGGGGGAGCGAACAGGAUUAGAUACCCUGGUAGUCCCGGCUGUAAACGAUGAUUACUGGGUGUGGGCAGGAAGCUGUCUGUGC